UUGAGGGAUGCCGCUAAGUGUCCGACAGCCUCAAACCCACGGAGACCAAAACUAGAAGGGCUGAGAUCCGGCCACGUGGGGAGGAAUCAGAUUUUUCAGUUUCUCUCCCUACAUCUCGAGUUUGACCGCAGUCUGUAAAUUCUUGUCUGGGUUAUUCCUCACAGAUCUCCUGAUUUUAGCAAUCGGUUCUCUGCCGAGCAUCCCACGGUGGGUACCCCGCACUCUUCAGCCUCCCACCGCUUCUAGUUCAGCUUAGACCUCCCUUCAGCCACGAGCCUUCUGCAAGGGCUCCACGGCCUCCCUGGCUCUCCUCUCGCUCUUAGGUGAGGGAGGCGCCUCUGCCCACCUUGGUCUUGGCUGUGCUGUGACUGCCAUGCUCCAGAGUAACUGAAUUCGUACAAAUCAAGUGAUUCGGAGAAAAAUGAAACCAAAUUCAGAUGGACAGAUGUGGCAGACUUCUCAGUCUAGAGAUCAGCCGGUGAUUAACACUUGAGAACCCAUUCUGCAAGCUCCAGUACUUGUUCUUCUCACAGAGACCUUGAGAGCCUGUGGCAAAUCAAGCGACUGUGGAUCAUCUCCCUUCAAAGAUGAACCAUGCAGAGAAAAAUAGCCUGGACCUGCACAGAAGACCUGACACCAAGCAACGGACUGGCGGCAUCCAUCAGAUUGCUGAUGGAGAGAAAGCAGCUUGAAAUCCUAUGGUCCAGAAGUACGUAGUGAUUCCCCGGAUCUCCUAGCCUGUCUUCCCUACCUCUAUGCACAGAGCUGAGGCUGCUUCACCUAGUCUCUCUUCACACUGAUUCAAUGACCUGGCCAGGAUAGCUCUGAUCUGGAGAGAGAAAAUAUGUUCAUCCUUAAAAUUCAAAGGAAAGCUGCCUAUACUGAAAAAUGGUGUAAUCCACAGCGAUUUCAUGGAAAAUUGUACCCGGGGACAAAACGUCAACAUUUAAACAAUCAAAAACUGAAAAGCACACAGGAAAGAGUAGUAGAAGAUCUUAGUGCUUAACACUCAGUCCUUGAGAGUCAACGUCAUCACCAAAAAGACUAGAAAAUAUUUAAAUCACAUAAUUUAUCAAAUAUCGAUCAGGUGAGUUAUAAACAUUGAUCAGUAUAGAGUUCGACACAUAGAUCUCAUGUGAACUGUACAUGUAAUUAUACACACAUGAUAUAAGAGUAAUUCACUGAUCUAUCCACAUGCAAAACUCCACACUUCAGAGAAUGAAUCGUUACUAUUGUAAGAUCCCAGGAAAUAUACACCAG